AGAUUUAUUUACUUUUGACAAAAAUUAACAUAUCGUAAAGUUGAACUUUUAUAUUGCAGGCUUAGGGCCCAAAAGAGCCCAAAAGUAAUUAAGCUUUGAUUGGCGAAAAAGCUAAUUCAAUAGCCGGAGCUCGUUAUCUUUCAGUAGCCGCUGCCUGCUGCCCGUUUUUUUGAGUUGUCUUGCACAAGUGUUUUGGUCUUACUAUUGAGUUAGGUUAUUCUAGCAAUGGGUAAGGAUUCAAAACCAAAGGAUGCAGGAGGGAAGGGCAAAGGGAAGCAGGCGGCAGGUGCAAGUGAUGAGAGUGCUUCAAAGAGUAAAGGGAAAGCUGGGAAAGCAGAUGGACUUGGCACCUGCACAUAUGUAAAAGCAAGGCAUAUCCUGUGUGAGAAGCAAGGUAAAAUCAAUGAAGCAUACAAGAAGCUGCAAGAUGGUUGGUGUAAUACCCGGCUCGAGUCCGGCAUCGGAAUUCCUAUAGUCCGGUGGAAUCUCGGGUGUCGGAACCCUCGAGAAGGGUAAUACAUAUGUUUUCUACGGUAUUUUGACUUGUUUUACGGGUUU